CUUGUUAGCAUAGUUCAUGCAUCAUGGAUGCCAUGAUAUAUCUUAGGGUGAUUGCAUUAGAAUCACGAAUAUGGUGCAUUGCAUUUUCAUUGUUUAUGAGGAUUGGACCAAGGCGACAUCAAUAGCCCGUCGAGGGAGUUUUGAGGUCAUGUCUAAUCCAAGAUGUGGAAUGUUUGAGUUGUGAUGCAUUUUCAUAUAAAAUGCG
rnacentral:lncRNA from 1 species